rnacentral:rRNA from 1 species
UAUCAAAAACAUGUCUUUAGAAUUUAAUUUAAGGUCUGACCUGCCCACUGAGUUAUAAAUGGCCGCAGUAUUUUAACUGUGCAAAGGUAGCAUAAUCAUUAGUCUUUUAAUUGGAGGCUUGUAUGAAUGGUUGGACGAGGCAUAGGUUGUUUCAUUAAAAUUUAUUGAAUUUUAUCUUUUAGUAAAAAAGCUAAAAUAAUUUUAAAAGACGAGAAGACCCUAUAGAUCUUUAUAAUAAAUGUGUUAUUUUUAUAUAGAAUAUUUUAGAUAUAAUUUGAUUUAUUAUUUUGUUGGGGUGAUGAUAAGAUUUAUAUAACUCUUAUAGAUUAUUUAACAAUAAUAAUUGAAUGUAUGAUCCAUUAAUAGUGAUUGUUAAAAUAAGUUACCUUAGGGAUAACAGCGUAAUCUUUUUAGAGAGUUCAUAUCGAUAAAAAGGAUUGCGACCUCGAUGUUGGAUUAAGAGAUAGUUUUGGGCGCAGCCGUUCAAUUUUUAAGUCAUGUUCGAC